AAUUGAAGUAUUAUCACCUAAUCACCGUUGAAGCUUAUUCUCCCUCCUUUCAAGCAAAAGUAUUUCUGAAGGUAGUAAAUUGUAAAAGAUGACCUUUACCUGCCCUUUUGAAAAUGUAUAAUAGUGUUAAACACUAAUAUUGAUCAUUGGGAAGAUUUGCUUUCCAUACAAUCUAUAAAUCUAAAUAUUGAACAAAAUGAGCCAUUCUUUUCAUUUAAAUCCUGAGUUUCCUUUGGCUUAAAUUUUCUUGAAAAUCAAAGUAAGAAUUACUUAAAAAAAUUCUUGUUUUGUUCUUUUGGUUCUCUUUCCCCCAUAAGGCUUUUAAGAACUAAAACUUAUUUAAAUGCCAACCAUUUGAACAGAAGUGCAACAGGUCUGUUGUAUUGACCAUUGUUCACUCAGUGAAAGGCGCCCUGGACGGUAUGAUGCCAGUAUUUUAUGUAUCAAUAAGAGUUUUUUUAAACAAUGCUGCCAACUAUAGUUGUAAGACAUUCUGAAUUAAAAAUUGGAUUCCAAUGUUGGAGAUGUGAAAAAGUGAGAGAAUAAGCAUCUUAGAAUCAUUGAAAUACUCAGUAUUCUUUCUGAUCCUUAAAAGAUGCCUGCAAAGUAGGUAUAAUGAUACCACUUUACUUAAUUGAAAUGUUGUCUUUGUAAAGUCGUAGUAAUAGUAAUAGUGAUACUAAUAUUAUCUAACAAUUAUUGAGCAGUUUUUUGGUGCUAGGAACUGUUGGAAAUGCUUUGCAUAGAUUCUCAUUAAAGCAAACUGGUGUCCUGUGAGAUAACUACUAUUUUUAUCCCCAUUUUGUUGAUGAGGAAAUUGAGGCACAGAAAGGUCAAGUGAUAGCUAACAAGUGACGGUUAAAACAGGAUCAGACUCAAGCUGAGCUGAAUGCCCAGGUCACCCUCUGUUCAGACAGGCUGCUGCUUCAUUAAUGUGCAUAACAAGAACUAGUAAAUAUUGUACUGUCCCAGAAAAAAAAAGGUUUGUAUUGAAAGUGUAGGGACAAAUGUUUACAAUUACAUGAAUAACUGUGUAUAUUGAGAUAGUGCAUUCUAAGUUCCUAAAGAGUCCUCUCACUUUCAUAGGACUGCUCUACAUGUGGCCUGUGUCAAUGGCCAUCCCAAAGUGGUGACUCUCCUAACAGACAGACAAUGCCUGUUGGACCUCGGUGACGUUGAAAACAGGACGGCUCUGAUUCAGGCAUAAUAUUGACAGGCCAUACAAUGCCAGCAAGAAGAGUGUGCAGCUAUUCUGCUAGACCAUGGUGCUGAUCCAAAUAUAAUGGACAACCAUGGCUACACCGCCCUCCACUAUGCUGCCCUUGGUCCCAGUAAAGCUAUGGUGGAAAAGCUGCUUUUCCACGAUGCAGAUACUGAAGCAAGAAAUAAGCAAUCAACAACUAAGUUCUGAAUAUGGAGAAGAACGGCGAUCUGUAAAAUCUUCUGAAAGGAGCGAUCUUGAUUCAGCAUGAAAAGAAACAGGUAAUGAAGUGGGUUGAGUUAAAAUUCUCUCUGGAGUCUCGCCUGCGUGAAGGAUUGAAGAAGACGGGUGAACUGGAGAAAGAGCUCACUAGAUAAGGUGAAAUCAUCUCAAGAAAAUCUAGAGCAGUUAAGAAAGAAUUAUGAUGCUUCAUUAAGAAGAGAAUUGGAACUCAGAAUUAAAGAUCUGGAAUCUGAACUCUCUGAAAUGAAAACCUUUGAAAAAUAUGAGCAACUCUACCUGAGAGAAAACCAAUGUACAAAGUCAUUGUCAAAUCAACUAGUCAAGUAAGUCAGAACACAAAAUCAGAGAAAAUAAACUAACCUCAUUAAUUAGUUUCUAAAGCAUAAUUUUUAUCAAGCCAGGUUCAUAAGAUUAGUAGGAAUGGAAGUUAACCAAGUAGUAUAAUUUUGGAAAAUGAUGUUAGUAAAUGAACUUAUCUAGCAAAUGUUUGUCCAGGACAGUUUGCAUCUCUUCCUCACUUUUGGUUUUACAUGACUUUAUUUUUCCCCCCUUAAUAUUUUCCUAAGUUAACCUACAUGAUCUACUAGUCUUUAAGCUAAGUGUUUUUGAAGCUUUAUAAUUUAGACAGCGAUAUUUUUAUAAAGUUGCUUGUUGUCAUUACCCUAAAUAGAAAUAUUAACGAGUUUAACUAUUUUUAGAAAAUAGCUUAAACUGAAAGGGUUAAGUGCUGGGCACAUUCUGGCGCUUGGUAGAUUUACUUUCUUCAUUGUCGUUUGUUAUUAUCACUAGAGGGCGCCUUGAGACAAACUAUCCUUUAUAGUUUUUCUGCUCAGAGGCACGCAGGUUAAUGGGGAAAGAUUGACAGGGGAGAAGGGCCGUAUGAUUGACACAGUUGCUAAAA